rnacentral:rRNA from 1 species
CGGGUGAGUAACACGUGGUCAACCUUCCCUACAGUGGGGGAUAACUAGCCGAAAGGUUAGCUAAUACCGCAUAACAUCUACGAGUGGCAUCAUUUGUAGAUCAAAGGAGCAAUCCGCUGAAGGACGGGACCGCGUCCCAUUAGUUAGUUGGUGGGGUAAUGGCCUACCAAGACUCCGAUGGGUAGCUGGUUUGAGAGGACGAUCAGCCACACUGGGACUGAGACACGGCCCAG